rnacentral:rRNA from 1 species
UCUUUGGUGAUUCAUGAUAACUAUACGAAUCGCACGGCCUUGCGCCGGCGAUGGUUCAUUCAAAUUUCUUCCCUAUCAACUUUCGAUGUUUGGGUAUUGGCCAAACAUGGUUGCAACGGGUAACGGAGGGUUAGGGCUCGACCCCGGAGAAGGAGCCUGAGAAACGGCUACUACAUCCAAGGAAGGCAGCAGGCGCGCAAAUUACCCAAUCCCGACUCGGGGAGGUAGUGACAAUAAAUACUGAUACAGGGCCCUUUCGGGCCUUGUAAUUGGAAUGAGUACAAUUUAAAUCCCUUAACGAGGAACAAUUGGAGGGCAAGUCUGGUGCCAGCAGCCGCGGUAAUUCCAGCUCCAAUAGCGUAUAUUAAAGUUGUUGUGGUUAAAAAGCUCGUAGUUGAACCUUGGGCCUGGCUGGCCGGUCCGCCUCACCGCGUGCACUGGUCCGGCCGGGCCUUUCCCUCUGUGGAACCCCAUACCCUUCACUGGGCGUGGCGGGGAAACAGGACAUUUACUUUGAAAAAAUUAGAGUGCUCCAGGCAGGCCUAUGCUCGAAUACAUUAGCAUGGAAUAAUAAAAUAGGACGCGCGGUUCUAUUUUGUUGGUUU